UCCAUGGUGUCGGAGGAUACGGGAUUUAUUGAUGUUAAAUAUAUGCAUUAUGCCCAUGGAG
rnacentral:tRNA from 1 species